rnacentral:lncRNA from 1 species
GUCAUUAUGUAGCAAUUACUUUAUUGAUUUAUGGAAGUUUUUAAGCUCCAUCAGGAAUAUGCACAUUCAAGUUGCCUGGUAGGGGAACCAUCCUCAGCCCAACAUCUGACUUGGUUCCUGAAAGGAAGGACGACUGUGGAAGAGACAGACCCAUGGAAACACAUGGUUGCUGUAGCUCAUUCUCGAUCAGCAGCCCCAGAGCAGGCAAGGAUGCUACCACUGGCACGUGAUGAGCAUGAACUUCUGCAGAUUCUUCUAGCUCUGAUCAG